CCUACGGGUGGCAGCAGUGGGGAAUCUUGCGCAAUGGGGGAAACCCUGACGCAGCAACGCCGCGUGAGUGAAGAAGGCCUUCGGGUCGUAAAGCUCUGUCGGGUGGGAAGAAACACAUGGGGGUGAAUAGCCUUCAUGCUUGACGGUACCGCCAAAGGAAGCACCGGCUAACUCCGUGCCAGCAGCCGCGGUAAUACGGGGGGUGCAAGCGUUGUUCGGAAUCAUUGGGCGUAAAGAGCGUGUAGGCGGCGUGAUAAGUCAGAUGUGAAAGCCCUGGGCUCAACCCAGGAAGUGCAUUUGAAACUGUCUUGCUUGAGUACGGGAGAGGGAAGAGGAAUUCCUGGUGUAGAGGUGAAAUUCGUAGAUAUCAGGAGGAACACCGGUGGCGAAGGCGACUUCCUGGCCCGAUACUGACGCUGAGACGCGAGAGCGUGGGGAGCAAACAGGAUUAGAUACCCCGGUAGUC
rnacentral:rRNA from 1 species